GUGGCAUAGCUCAUAGGGGAUGAUUGAAUCUGGCUUCUCACAUACGUUAUACUCUCUCUCUCUCUCUCAUUCUCUCAUUCUCUCAUAACCCUAAUUCAGUCUCUCUCUUCUCUUCUCUUCUCUUCUCUUCUCUGGCGAACACGGCGAUGAAACAACAAAUCCUGGAGAUCAAAUCGGCGAUUUAGUGAACUUGGCUUCUAUGUUACGCUUUCUCUCAACUCUCUCUCUCAUUCUCACAAAAGUCUCCAAACGAUUGCUGCGAAACCCUAACAAGCGACUCGUAUAGUCAUCGACCCUAAUCAGCGAUUCCUCUAAGCAUGGAGUGGUUGUGUCUAGCGGCGGUGGUUGUGUCUAGCGGCGGCAAUGGUGGUCUAAUGUUGAUGGUGGAGGAGUCGCGGCGGCGGUGGUUUUGUUUUACUUGAAUCUUCCUCUCAAUAUUUCCCUACGCCUUCUAAGGUUUUACAGUUUCGAUUCGAUUUUUGAAUUGGGUUUGAACUCGAACUGGAUUAUAAGUUUUAUUGAUUUUGAUUUUUGGGUUCUGUAUAUUUUAAUAAUUAGUGUUAUUUCUUGGAUUAUUUUAAUAUGUAUAACAUAGUAGAUGUUGAAAGAAGAUGCAAAUGGUGGAGAAUUUAUCCAAUUCUUCAGGUUGGGAGAUGAGUUCAGGUCAUAUGCAUAAAGAGAGAGAUGUGAGAUCAGGGAGAUCUCUAUAGCCCGCUGACCGGUGUAAGGCGACUCAAGACAAGUGUGAGAAAGUUGUGCAGGAUGCCCUAUCAGAUGAAGAUGAUUCAUGUGAUGUGCACAUUUUAAAAGCAACAUUUAGAUGUGGUUUUGUGGGUAUUGUUUAAAAGAAAUCUCUAUUUUUUUGUUUUAAACAGUAGCAUCUAAGGCACAGUGACACCACUAGGAUUUAGUUGUGAGUGUUGCUCAUUUAGCUGUUAAAAUAUAAUAUAUAUAUUUUUUGCAGGGUCAUGAUAGGAAUAGCAGAACAGGGGUAUUCAGUCCUCCUACUGACCUUAUUUUUCUUGGAGGUUUGCCUCACCGGUUUUGUACCUUAUACUGUAAAGUUUCUCAAUUUUAUACUUCUUUUGUGGAUGUAUGUGUAUUACUGCUUUGAGUAUGUGUCGAUUACAUGGCUACCGUUUGUUUAAAUUUAGAGGUGGCAUAAUGGUGGGUCUGGUAAUGGGUCAAACUGUUUGCGGGUUAGGUUGAUCUGGAAGGACCGGAACACUAUUUGUUUUUGUUCAAAUUUGUUGUAAUUUUUUUUAUAAAGAGUUCGUGUGACAAAAAAGAUUACAAAAAUUAUCUUAUUCUAAUAAUGAUUGACUUUGACCUGUUUUCUUUUAAACUAGCCUUUUAUAAAUCCUUUUGAAUCGAUUAAAACAUAACAUGAAUUGACCCGUUCAGAGGUAAAUAGAUUGAAAUUGCCACCUCUACCGUACUAAUUAUACCUUACCACAUAUCAUCUCAUUGUAGCUUUUCAAUUUCAUACGUACAAAUGGAACUUCUCUGGCCUGAGUUUGGAUAAAAGGCUUGACUUUUUUGAGUCAAACUGGGAGUUCUUCGCUGGUUUCGGAUCUCCUUGUGUUUUGGCCAUUUUCUUUUUUUCUCCUUUAGUGAGUUAUGGAGUAAUGGCAAUACUCUUUCCAAUGUGUAGUUGAUGCACAUAAAACAAAAUGGAGAGGUGAAGAAUUGAGAAAGCUUCCUAUAUUUUACGCUGCAUAUAAGUUAUGGGAUGCUUUCAAGAGAGUUUGUUCCCUUCGUGUUAUUAAACACAUUUUUAACUAAUAAAUAUUGCUUCAAAUCUAUACAUGAUAAGAAAGUAGUAAUAACGUGUAACCUUUAGUGAAGAGAUUCAUCAUUGGGAUGCUUACAAAUAUUGGUAGCAACAUGAAAUACAAGUGUAUGUAUUUGGUAUGUUAGCAAGGUGUUAAUGGGCCUGUGAGUUUUCUUUAGCGUAUUCUCAUGUGUACCUAAAAAGGAAAUAAAAAAUUAAGAAAAUAAAAACAAGACAUUCAUUCUAAUACUAAACAAAGUGCAUUUGAAUUAACACCACUUAAUUAUUUCAACCACAUUUCAUUAGAUUUUUUGACAUAUGUUUCUCAUUCAUCUUGCAGGCACUUUAAAGGAGACGUUUAUCGAUUCCCAACUUUGGUUAGACUUCGACUGUGAAUCUGAUCUAAUGAGUGUUAAUGGAGGUAAGCCAUGUAGCUACAUAUAUAUAGUGAAACUCCUAAAUUUCUAAUAAAUGUAUGUACUACUAUUUAUAUAAAACAAAAGUUUGUAUAUUUAUUUUUUUUAAAUACGUUUUAGAUAUGCUUUGGUAUACAUCUCUCUUUUUUCACACGUUUUGGUCACGGGGCCAGUGGUAGCUUGUGGAGCUGACAAUCUGUGUCAGUUUCGGGUUCUGUGUUAACUCAUCAUGUGGGUGCGAUAAAAAAAUAGCUUGAAAUGGGUAGAAGGUGUUCCAUAGUUGUGAAGGCAUAAACCUUUCUAAUUUUUUUUAUUCAUAAAAUUAGAUCAUUAGUGAAAUAAUUAGUAUUUAUGAUCAUAUUUGACAUUUCUAAAUGGAAAUCUAGAACAAAGAAAGUUGAACCUAACGGGUUACUUUUUUGUAUGUUGAAGUGUAUUGUUGUAUGUUGUGUGCAAGGUUUAAAAUAACGGAAACAAGUUUUGAGGCGUUUUCCCUUCGUCUCACGAGGCGUAAGCCUCGAGGUGAACCAAGGCGGAUUACUCUCUUCGCCUCAUGAAGCGUCAUUAUUUUGGUUUAACUUUUCUAUGGUUUAGCUUUUUGGAAUCUGAAUAAGGUUGGUUGAGUCUGACAAAACAAGAAGGAUAUUGGCUAUAGUCAUUUGCCACUGGAUUAAGGAGGAGCCGGUUGACCAUCUCUUCGUGUCUUGCCACUUCGCCUCAAGGUGUUUGGGAUCGGGUUGCAAGCUGGUGCCGUCUAACUGGGUUGUAUAUGUUUGAAAGCAAAGAUUUGGUCGGAUAUCAUUGCCAUGCGAGUGGGUCGACAAAAUGAAAAAAAAUGGUGUACACUAUAAUGCAGACUGGAAUGUGGAUUAUAUGGCGUUAUCGAAACAACUUAGCAUUCAACCAGAAGUUUAAUGGUUUGAGAAAUGUGUCUAAAUAGUUUACACUGUAAUGCAGUAGUUCUUACGUAAUAAAAAUUUGAUAAAUACGAUAUGAGUGUGUUGGUGGUCUGUAUCUUUGGCGUAUGUUUGGUUAAAAGAUUUUUCUGCA